GACAGAGGAUGCAAGCGUUAUCCGGAAUGAUUGGGCGUAAAGGGCACGUAGGCGGCUUUGCAAGUCGGGUGUGAAAUCCCCAGGCUUGACCUGGGAACUGCAUUCGAGACUGCAUUGCUAGAGUAUGGGAGAGGGAAGUGGAAUUUCCGGUGUAGCGGUGAAAUGCGUAGAUAUCGGAAGGAACAUCAGUGGCGAAAGCGACUUCCUGGACCAAUACUGACGCUCAUGUGCGAAAGCGUGGGGAGCAAACAGG
rnacentral:rRNA from 1 species